GCCAGUAUUGCGUAGUGGUUUGAGCAUUAGACUAUGACUCUGGGAGACCAGGGUUCGAAUCCCUGCUCAGCCA